rnacentral:rRNA from 1 species
GGAUUAGAUACCCUGGUAGUCCACGCUGUAAACGCUGAGAACUAGGUGUUGGUUCUGUAAUGGGAUUAGUACCGAAGCUAACGUGAUAAGUUCUCCGCCUGGGGAUUACGGUCGCAAGAUUAAAACUCAAAGGAAUUGACGGGGGCCCGCACAAGCGGUGGAGCAUGUGGUUUAAUUCGAUGCAACGCGCAAAACCUUACCUACCCUUGACAUCCUGGGAAGCUUUCAGAGAUGAGAGUGUGCCUUCGGGCCCCAGAGACAGGUGCUGCAUGGCUGUCGUCAGCUCGUGCCG